rnacentral:rRNA from 1 species
ACGGAGGGUGCAAGCGUUGUUCGGAAUUAUUGGGCGUAAAGCGGAUGUAGGCGGUCUGUUAAGUCGGAUGUGAAAUCCCUGGGCUCAACCCAGGAACUGCAUUCGAUACUGGCAAACUAGAGUCUCGGAGGGGGUGGCGGAAUUCCCGGUGUAGAGGUGAAAUUCGUAGAUAUCGGGAGGAACACCAGUGGCGAAGGCGGCCACCUGGACGAUGACUGACGCUCAGAUCCGAAAGUGUGGGGAGCAAACAGG